UACGUAGGGUGCAAGCGUUGUCCGGAAUUAUUGGGCGUAAAGAGCUCGUAGGCGGUUUGUCGCGUCUGCUGUGAAAACCCGAGGCUCAACCUCGGGCCUGCAGUGGGUACGGGCAGACUAGAGUGCGGUAGGGGAGAAUGGAAUUCCUGGUGUAGCGGUGGAAUGCGCAGAUAUCAGGAGGAACACCGAUGGCGAAGGCAGUUCUCUGGGCCGUAACUGACGCUGAGGAGCGAAAGCGUGGGUAGCAAACAGG
rnacentral:rRNA from 1 species